rnacentral:rRNA from 1 species
GCAGUUGAGGAAAAGGAGCAAUCCGCUAAUAGAUGGGCUUGCGUCUGAUUAGCUAGUUGGUGGGGGUAACGGCCUUACCAAGGCGACGAUCAGUAGCCGGACUGAGAGGUUGAACGGCCACAUUGGGACUGAGAUACGGCCCAGACUCCUACGGGAGGCAGCAGUCGGGAAUAUUGCGCAAUGGAGGAAACUCUGACGCAGUGACGCCGCGUAUAGGAAGAAGGUUUUCGGAUUGUAAACUAUUGUCAUUAGGGAAGAUAAAAGACUGUACCUAAGGAGGAAGCCCCGGCUAACUAUGUG